rnacentral:lncRNA from 1 species
GCGGUUUUUUGAAAAACAAACUACAUCACGUUUGUUUACUUGGUAAUUGCCUUCCUGCAAACCAAAAAUGAGCAAAAUCGAAACUUUGAGCGUGACCGGAUGAUGCUCGAUAUUAGUGGACCUUCGCUCUUAAAUCUGCGCUCAAAUUAUACUUGAAAUUUAGACAAUCAUGCAUGGAAAUAAUUAAUAUACGUAGACUUCUUAUAAAAAAGCAUACUAAUUAUUUAUUUAAUGAAUUUAUUGAGCAAUCUACAUAUGUACUAUAGCAGGUGCAAACUACAAAGGUGGGUACCUAACAAACGAAAGACAAAAACACACGUCACAAAUCACAAAUUAGCAGUUACACUCAAACGGAAAAGCACAAACGGGACACUAACAGUCCCAUGCGAGGUGCUCCCCGUAAUUAGUUUAGAUAUAGUUAAUUAAAUAUACACACACAUAUAUAUUACUUGUGGUAUUAAGUCCUAUGGCAAGGACAGUCACGAGUUAAUGACCACGUACAAGCCAUGUCUACGUCAUAAACAUUACUAAUUAAUGUAUAGUAUCUACGUGUAAGAUGGUGUUUAAACGAGUUUGGAUUACGGAAAAUGUCAGGUGAGACUUCUUGGCACACCGUGUUCCAAAUCUUUACAACACGAUUGUAGUAUGAAGACUGGAAAGUGUUAGUUUUACAGAGUUUACUUUGGAGGAUAUACUAUUGUUGGAGGCCAGUUGUUAAAGAUGUUGAUAUCCACUGCCAAAAUAGCCCCCGUCCCCCUAAACACAAUAGGGAGCUUAAGCAUGUAUGACGGAAACACGACGACGACGCAAAUUUUUUUUCCGUGGACAGUCGGACUCCUCAUUGAUAGUCGGACGCAUCAUUGACCCGCGCCCUUAAACAAAACAUUCAGCGGAUACUCUUCUUAUUAGAUGCGCCUUCACAGUGUGUCUUGCGCACGCAAUCGGUGAUUUCAAAAUGUUCUAUUGCUUGGUUGAGAUGUCUAAAUCUGAGCAGGACAGAUUGUGGCUUCAUAUCUUGUGUGGUGAUGACAUCUGACAUAUUUUAUUAAGUUAUAUUUGCCAUUCCCAUGUGCUUUUCUUUGCUUUGUUGACUCUUUUCGUUGCUUCUGUAACUCUUUAUAAGUUUCAUUGUUUUCGAUUCCAUAAUUUAAAAAAAACAUUGCCAUAUCUUCCGGAGCGAUUGCAGAAUACCCGUCCACUUUUAAGCUAUGCUUUUCAGACAUCAUGGAUACGAUGUAUUAAUACAUCUAUAUUUAUUCUCAAUAGAUUAAUAAAUAGAUUGAUAGAUUAAAAUCCCAUGGUGGUAAAGGUAGCUACGAAGCAUACAGUGACUUAACGUUAAUACAUUAAAUUGUCAUAUUAAAGGUAGCUCUAUAUUCUAGUGGAUACGCGGACAUGCAGUCAACUAGUUAUUUUGAGAACGAGGCAUACAGUUAGAUUGAGCAUUAGAUCAAAUUCUCAUGCUAUAGGUAGCUCUAUAUUUUAGUGGAUACGCGGAUACGCAGUCAAGUAGUUAUUUGGAGAUUAAGGUGACAUUUAGUUACCAUUAAUAAAUUAAAUUCUCAUGCUAUAGAGAGCUUAAAUGUGCUGUAAUAUGUAAAUAUGUUCCUCAUGCACAACCGGACAUUGGUGUUUGACAGAUUACUGAUUAAUUAGCGUCGCUGGGAGAAAAAAAAAUUAUAUUAUAAAGCAUACUAAGCAUAAUAUUAAACAUUAAAAGUCUUGCGCAUGAUAUUUCUUUAUAGUAUCAAUUCGUAAUAUUGUUUUAGUAAUUAGUUUGUUUAUAUUAGAACGAGGCAAUAAGAUCUGGUAUAUACGUAUCCAGGGAAAUAGUGGCCGGGCUACAUGACACGAUAUUACUAGUGGACGGGUAUUCUGCAAUACUCCUAUUUGGGGAAAGUGGUCCCAAUGGUCGCUUUGAAUCUUCCAGUAUUUCCUUGCACGCUAUUUAUCUUAUCCCAAUUCUCUUCAAUUAGGAUCAUAUAUAGUUUUAACUCGCAAUAACAGUUCUUGAGUAUUUUCGCAACCAGAAAAACAAGUUUGUAGAUUUACUAUGGCAUCGCGAAGCAAAUCGUUCAUCUUUCUACAAGUGGUCGAAGAAGAGCAACGUGGAGUGAUGGAUACAUGGUGCACCAGUGGGUUACGCACGGUACGAAGGGAUCCAUCGAUAACGCGCCAAGGACUGGACGCGAGGAUCAAUGAUGCGUCCGACUAUCAAUGAGGAGUCCGACUGUCUACGGAAAAAAAAAUUUGCGACGACGACGGCCAAAACAAAUUCCUUCAAAUAAAUGAUAGUAAAGAAAACUUGUCGUAUAAGAAGCUGAAAACACAUGCUUUAUGUUUGGGAAGAGUUCUACUGACCGAAUUUUAAGUUGCGCCUUGAAAUGCAGGCGUUGUAUAAAAGACGUGAAAGUCUGUGAUUUGCCGUUGUAAACAGAGCGACGACUACGCCUGAAACUCCCCUGGGACUUUAAUUAUUUAUUCACUUUUCAUUGACUCCUUGUAUUGGUUGCCGUCGUCGUCUUGUUGCCGUCCUACAUGCUUAAGCUCCCUAUUGUUGACCCCAGCCAACGGCGCGGAGCGCCGUUCCAGGCGUAAGGCCGGGACGAGGGUACUAAUUCCCCCCGGCUAUUUCCACCCGGGGGAACGAAAGCAUUAGCGAAGUCUAAAAAGUUCAUCAAUGAUCGCGGGUGUGGGUGACCAAUGGUGGGUGGUCAUCCUCACUGAUCUCAAAAAUAUGGCGGACUGUCAUGAAUAGCGAACACUGAUUGGUCAAAUUUAUAUUUUGCAUUAUAACGACUUCAUGACGACAGCGAAAUAGCAAACAUUUCUUGAUUUGAUGAUUUCUUGCAAAUAUAUUUCAUUUUUGCAAGAUUUUGUGAAUUUCAAAAGCUUUUUAAGAAAAAAGGGCGAAAGAAUCGGCUAAAAGAAGGGAGCAAAAGCCUCCUUAAUUUAAUAUAUUUACACUGGCUUUUAAAGGUAAGCCAAUCCUGAGAAAAUUAUAAAGCCAAUGGAUUUUCCCUCUUGUGUCUUGGAUUUCGUUUCUUUAUUUGAAUGACCAUCGCAGGGGGCAUAUUUGGCCAGUUCUUGUCAUCAGACUACAAUGCAAUAAGUAUAAAAUUAUGAAUAAGCACACGUGCAUGUAUACGUGCAUGCAUGCAAGGGCGGAUUGAGCGGUCCGACAUUUGGACGCGCCCGAGGCGCUUGAAGAAGA